rnacentral:tRNA from 1 species
GGGGUUGUGGCUCAGCUGUAGAGUGCUCGUCUGGCACAUGUGAAGCGCUGGGUUCGAUCCUCAGCACCACA